rnacentral:lncRNA from 1 species
UGAGGUAACUGGAGGGAUGGCAGGGGAAUGGAAAACAAUAGAGAGAUACAGCAAACAAAAGCUUCCAGAACACAGAAAAAUCUCAAGAAAGCAACUCUCCCCAUCUUUGAGGCUCCAAAAGGAAGAACCUGGACCUCUUCAGGGUAAAGAUGUUAGCUACCACCUUAAAUAAGCCUGUAUCUUCAGCCCCAAAAUGAGCCAUCAGACAGGACCAUGUGCAUGGCAGGAUGCAGGCUUGUCAUCUCAGGUGAUCUCCCUGGCAUUGCACCUGGGCUGGGGCAGAGAGGAGCGUGGCCCAUGACAGCAUCACGCGAUACAAAAAUCCAGAAAAAUGGCCCAUAAGGCCGGCUGUGUGAUGCAGCAGGAGAACGGCUUCACACCAGGAAAGACAUGGGCAGGUGUGAGCCUUUGAGGAUGGGAAGCCACCCUUAUCAGUGUUUGCAGUUGGGGUGAGGUGUUUGUGCAAAACCAGGCUUCAAAACUGCUGGUCAAUCAUCA